rnacentral:rRNA from 1 species
AGGAUGAACGCUGGCGGCGUGCCUAAUACAUGCAAGUCGAGCGGUAAGGCCCCUUCGGGGGUACACGAGCGGCGGACGGCUGAGUAACACGUAGGAACGUACCCCAAACUGAGGGAUAAGCACCAGAAAUGGUGUCUAAUACCGCAUGUGGUCUUCGGAUUAAAGCUUCGGCGCUUUGGGAGCGGCCUGCGUAUGAUUAGCUUGUUGGUGAGGUAAAAGCUCACCAAGGCGACGAUCAUUAGCUGGUCUGAGAGGAUGAUCAGCCAGACUGGGACUGAGACACGGCCCAGACUCCUACGGGAGGCAGCAGUAGGGAAUUUUCCGCAAUGGGCGCAAGCCUGACGGAGCAACGCCGCGUGCAGGAGGAAGGCCUUCGGGUCGUAAACUGCUUUUAUGUGCGACGAUUUUGACGGUAACACAUGAAUAAGGUCUGCUAACUACGUGCCAGCAGCCGC